CACCUUGCCGCACCCCCAUACCAUCCUAAUUCCCUCCUACAUCAAAAAUCACAUCCAAAAAACCCCAAAACCAUCUCUGCCGCAGCAAGGAGAAGAAGAAAGAGGAGCUUUCUGUGCAGAUUUCAAAGUGGACUUCCUUGGCAUUUUAGGUGUAAUCUUUCUUAUGUCUUCGAUGUUUCAAUUCAAUAAACUUUGUGUUGUGAGUAUGAGGAACUAAAACCCCUUAGUUGGGGGGUGAUUCGAAACCAUG
rnacentral:lncRNA from 1 species